rnacentral:rRNA from 1 species
CUAUUGGAAACGAUAGCUAAUACCGCAUAAUAGUAGAUGUUGCAUGACAUUUGCUUAAAAGGUGCAAUUGCAUCACUACCAGAUGGACCUGCGUUGUAUUAGCUAGUUGGUGAGGUAACGGCUCACCAAGGCAACGAUACAUAGCCGACCUGAGAGGGUGAUCGGCCACACUGGGACUGAGACACGGCCCAG